rnacentral:rRNA from 1 species
UUSGAAUUACUGGGCGUAAAGCGUGCGUAGGUGGUUGUUUAAGUCUGUUGUGAAAGCCCUGGGCUCAACCUGGGAAUUGCAGUGGAUACUGGGCAACUAGAGUGUGGUAGAGGGUAGUGGAAUUCCCGGUGUAGCAGUGAAAUGCGUAGAGAUCGGGAGGAACAUCCAUGGCGAAGGCAGCUACCUGGACCAACACUGACACUGAGGCACGAAAGCGUGGGGAGCAAACAGGAUUAGA